rnacentral:rRNA from 1 species
AUUGAACGCUGGCGGCAGGCCUAACACAUGCAAGUCGAACGAGUGGCGGACGGGUGAGUAAUGUCUGGGAAACUGCCUGAUGGAGGGGGAUAACUACUGGAAACGGUAGCUAAUACCGCAUACCAUCAGAUGUGCCCAGAUGGGAUUAGCAAGUUGGGGGGGUAACGGCUCCCCAAGGCGACGAUCCCUCGCUGGUCUGUGAGGAUGACCAGCCACACGGGACCUGAGACACGGUCCAGACUCCUACGGGAGGCGUCAGUGGGGAAUUUUGCACAAUGGGCGCAAGCCUGAUGCAACCAUGCCGCGUGUAUGAAGAAGGCCUUCGGGUUGUAAAGUACUUUCAGCGGGGAGGCGUUACCCGCAGAAGAAGCGCCGGCUAACUCCGUGCCAGCCGCCGCGGUACUAC